rnacentral:rRNA from 1 species
AGUACGUUGGCGGCUGGAUUACCAUGCGAUUCAAAGCGAGAAGCGUUUUUUUGCUUGCAUUUAUAACGUGGACAGCGGCGCAAGGGAGAGUCACGCGUAGUUAUCUACCCCAAGGGUCCGGAAUAGCUUCGGGAAACUGAAGGUAAUACCGGAUAAUAUCCCCGGAUCACACGGUGUGAUUCCGCCUUGGGAGGAGACUGCGUUGUACUAGCUUGUUGGUGGGGUAAUGGCCUACCAAGGGCUGUAGAUGCAUAGCGGGCGUGAGAGCGUGGCCCGUCUCACUGGGACUGAAACACUGCCCAGACACCUACGGGUGGCUUGCCAAGUCGAGAAUCUUCGUGCAAUGGGCGAAAGCCUGACCGAGCUGAUGCCGCGUGCGGGAUGAAGGCCUUCGGGUUGUAAACCGCAUGUCACGUUGGGAGGAAGGGUCUGUGAAGAGCAGAUCUUGACCUAUCUUCAGAGGAAGUCCGGGCAUAAGUUCGUGACAGACAGCCGGGUAACAACCGAAACCCGGCAACCAACCGGUUAUUCGGAAUUACUUAUGGGGCUUUACAGGGUGCGUUACAGCAGGCUAAUGUUAGGUCGGGUGUCAAAAAUCCCAUCCGGCUCAAACCGACGGAAACUGGAGCCACCAAA